GUGGCUCGACGCCGGGCUUCGGCCUGGUUAUUCAUAACCCUUUGUUGUCCGACUCUGUUGCCUCCGGGGCGACCCUGCCUUCGGGCGGGGGCUCCGGGUGGACACUUCAAACUCUUGCGUAACUUUGCAGUCUGAGUAAACUUAAUUAAUAAAUUAAAACUUUUAACAACGGAUCUCUUGGUUCUGGCAUCGAUGAAGAACGCAGCGAAAUGCGAUAAGUAAUGUGAAUUGCAGAAUUCAGUGAAUCAUCGAAUCUUUGAACGCACAUUGCGCCCCCUGGUAUUCCGGGGGGCAUGCCUGUUCGAGCGUCAUUUCACCACUCAAGCCUCGCUUGGUAUUGGGCAACGCGGUCCGCCGCGUGCCUCAAAUCGUCCGGCUGGGUCUUCUGUCCCCUAAGCGUUGUGGAAACUAUUCGCUAAAGGGUGUUCGGGAGGCUACGCCGUAAAACAACCCCAUUUCUAAGGUUGACCUCGGAUCAGGUAGGGAUACCCGCUGAACUUAAGCAUAUCAAUAAGCGGAGGAA
rnacentral:rRNA from 1 species